UACGUAGGGCGCGAGCGUUGUCCGGAAUUAUUGGGCGUAAAGAGCUCGUAGGCGGCCAGUUGCGUCUGCUGUGAAAUCCCGGGGCUCAACCCCGGGCUUGCAGUGGAUACGGGCUGGCUGGAGGCAGGCAGGGGAGAACGGAAUUCCCGGUGUAGCGGUGAAAUGCGCAGAUAUCGGGAGGAACACCGGUGGCGAAGGCGGUUCUCUGGGCCUGUACUGACACUGAGGCACGAAAGCAUGGGUAGCAAACAGG
rnacentral:rRNA from 1 species